GCUUGGCCCUAAACCUCAAUAGUUAAAAUAACAAAACUAUUCGCCAGAAUACUACAAGCAACAGCUUAAAACUCAAAGGACUUGGCGGUGCUUCAUACCCCCUAGAGGAGCCUGUUCUGUAAUCGAUAAACCCCGAUCCACCCCACCCUCUCUUGCUUAGUCUAUAUACCGCCAUCUUCAGCAAACCCUGAUGAAGGCUACGAAGUGAGCGCAAAUGCCCUUCCCCGCAAAAACGUUAGGUCAAGGUGUAACUUAUGAGACGGUAAAAAUGGGCUACAUUUUCUACUUCAGAAAACCCCACGAUAGCUCUUAUGAAAUCUAGGAGCCCAAGGAGGAUUUAGCAGUAAAUUAAGAAUAGAGUGCUUAAUUGAACUAGGCCAUAAAGCACGC
rnacentral:rRNA from 1 species